rnacentral:lncRNA from 1 species
UCAGCCAAGAGAAGGCAUGGAGUCUUACUGAGUGUCUAUUACAGACAGCACGCUUCACAGAUAAUGUCUUCUUAAAGCCUAUCAGCUAAAGCCUACUAGCAAUACACACGCAGCCGAAGUUGAGGUUAUUAGCUUGUUGCAGCAAGAGAGCACAUAUACAAGAGGAAUCAUGGAAAGCGAAAAGGUGUCAGAUGUGUACCGUGUUCUGAAGACUCUCCCCACCUUCUCCAGCACCCUCCCCCUUUGUCCUUCACAGGCAUUUCCUCCAAUCAGUCUUUCGUCUUCUGCUUCAUGGAAGACCUGAC